CCGUCUUAUCUACUGGGAUUAUUCUGGACAACCACCACUAAGGUGAAAAAAAAAAGCGUGAUGAUGCCAGAGGUCAGAGGAUAUUUAAGCUGACUGGAUGUCUACAGUUAUUCAAAUAAUAAAAUUUUACAACCAACGUUUGCACAAGAAUAUCUCUGAACAGACCACAUGUCGAACCUUUAGGCAGAUGGGCUACAGCAGCAGAAGAGUAACCACAUCAGGUGUUACUCCUGUCAGCCAAGAACAGGAACCUGAGGCCACAGUUCACACGGAUCAUCACAACUGAAGACUGGAAAACAUUCCCUGAUCUGAUGACUCUCAAUUCCUGAUGCAACAUUCGGAUGGUAUGGAGAACAUGCAGAUCAUAUGAUACCCACCCACUCCGCCCUCCCUGCGAUACGCCACCAAGUCUGAGAACUACCGCUGGUUUUGUUGGGGUCCUUAAUGAACAGGACCUUGUAAUGCUACUGUGUUUGACGCAUGUAUCAGAGUGUGAGGAGGAAGGUCUUCUGGGAAGAGCCCUUUAAGAUGAUACGAGCACCAUUAUUGCCGACUGCGGGUCGGCUCCAUUUCAGACACAUUGAUCUGCUCCUGGAGCUUGCUGGGCGAUGUGGUGGGAGAGCUGAGGUGGAGCCUGAGAGACGGACCCAGAGUGGAUAUAAAAUCAUGCAAUGAGGGGUACUAAUGCCACAUGCUUAUCUUUGCUCAGACCUGUCAUCGGUGCAUCCAAAAACAUCCAAACAAAUUAACUCUCCUCACACUUUCUGGAAAGAACAAAAUGCCUGCAUAGUUAUUGCUUAUAUAAAACAAAAUUUGCGGAUAUAUUUAAAAGGUCUUGAAACCUCUGAAAUGGCAUUUUAACAGCGUCUGAAAGGUAGUUUAGUGAGGGUCUGGUAGUCUCAGAGAAGAGAAUAAAUCAAUGUUAAAGAAAACUUCUGCAGAAACAUGCUGAGUCCUUUAUUUGAGUACAUUAAAUACGUCUUAAGAUCACUUUC